rnacentral:rRNA from 1 species
AUGAACGCUGGCGGCGUGCCUAAUACAUGCAAGUCGAGCGAACGGACGAGAAGCUUGCUUCUCUGAUGUUAGCGGCGGACGGGUGAGUAACACGUGGAUAACCUACCUAUAAGACUGGGAUAACUUCGGGAAACCGUAGCUAAUACCGGAUAAUAUUUUGAACCGCAUGGUUCAAAAGUGAAAGACGGUCUUGCUGUCACUUAUAGAUGGAUCCGCGCUGCAUUAGAUAGUUGGUAAGGUAACGGCUUACCAAGGCAACGAUGCAUAGCCGACCUGAGAGGGUGAUCGGCCACACUGGAACUGAGACACGGUCCAGACUCCUACGGGAGGCAGCAGUAGGGAAUCUUCCGCAAUGGGCGAAAGCCUGACGGAGCAACGCCGCGUGAGUGAUGAAGGUCUUCGGAUCGUAAAACUCUGUUAUUAGGGAAGAACAUAUGUGUAAGUAACUGUGCACAUCUUGACGGUACCUAAUCAGAAAGCCACGGCUAACUACGUG